GUAGAGAUAAACUAAAGAAGUUGUUUGGCUCAUGCCCAAAAUAUAAGGUUCAAAAAUCUUUUUCUGCG
rnacentral:tRNA from 1 species